UACGUAGGUGGCAAGCGUUUGUCCGGAUUUAUUGGGUUUAAAGGGUGCGUAGGCGGAUAAUUAAGUCAGUGGUGAAAUCUUGCGGCUCAACCGUAAAAUUGCCAUUGAAACUGAUUAUCUUGAGUACAGUUGAGGUGGGCGGAAUGUAUCAUGUAGCGGUGAAAUGCUUAGAUAUGAUACAGAACACCUAUUACGAAAAGCAGCUCACUAAACUGCAACUGACGCUGAGGCACGAAAGCGUGGGGAUCAAACAGG
rnacentral:rRNA from 1 species